UACGGAGGGUGCGAGCGUUAAUCGGAAUAACUGGGCGUAAAGGGCACGCAGGCGGUGACUUAAGUGAGGUGUGAAAGCCCCGGGCUUAACCUGGGAAUUGCAUUUCAUACUGGGUCGCUAGAGUACUUUAGAGAGGGGUAGAAUUCCACGUGUAGCGGUGAAAUGCGUAGAGAUGUGGAGGAAUACCGAAGGCGAAGGCAGCCCCUUGGGAAUGUACUGACGCUCAUGUGCGAAAGCGUGGGGAGCAAACAGG
rnacentral:rRNA from 1 species